AAAAAAAGAAAGAAAGGACCUCGGUCCUUGUCCACAGCUUCCACUGUUCCUGUCCCAGGCCGAUCAUGAAGAGGGUCACGGCAACACCCAUGUCCUGUUCCAAGCCUCGCUGUGUAAGUAGGAAACCACACUCACAACACAGAUAGGCCAUUAAUUUCAAAGAUGUGAAACCUUCCCCUGGAAAAAUCAUUUCUGCAGACUUCAGAUUUUAUAAUUUGUCGGUUUUUCUUUCUCAGGUCCGAUUGGAGCAGUACAGCCUCGUCCAGAACCAGGAUAAGUCCACUCCUAGGCUGUUACUGAGGAAGGUCCCACCGAUGGACGGC
rnacentral:lncRNA from 1 species